CUCCGGUUGAUCCUGCCGGACCUGACUGCUAUCGGAUUGGUACUAAGCCAUGCGAGUCAUUGUAGCAAUACAAGGCGGACGGCUCAGUAACACGUAGUCAACCUAACUCGUGGACGUGGAUAACCUCGGGAAACUGAGAAUAAACCACGAUAGAUCAUAGUGCCUGGAAUGGCUUAUGGUCCAAACAGUUUACUGCCAUGGGAUGGGACUGCGGCCUAUCAGCUUGUUGGUGAGGUAAUGGCCCACCAAGGCGAUUACAGGUACGGGCUCUGAGAGGAGAAGCCCGGAGAUGGGUACUGAGACACGGACCCAGGCCCUAUGGGGCGCAGCAGGCAAGAAACCUUAGCAAUGUGCGAAAGCACGACUGGGUCAGUCCGAGUGAUUCCUGAUAAAGGAGUCUUUUGCUUGUCCUAAAAGCACAGGUGAAUAAGGGGUGGGCAAGUCUGGUGUCAGCCGCCGCGGUAAUACCAGCACCCCGAGUGGUCGGGACGAUUAUUGGGCCUAAAGCAUCCGUAGCCGGUUCUGCAAGUCUUCCGUUAAAUCCAGCCGCUCAACGGAUGGGCCGCGGAGGAUACUACAGGACUAGGAGGCGGGAGAGGCAAGCGGUACUCAGUGGGUAGGGGUAAAAUCCUUUGAUCCAUUGAAGACCACCAGUGGCGAAGGCGGCUUGCCAGAACGCGCUCGACGGUGAGGGAUGAAAGCUGGGGGAGCAAACCGGAUUAGAUACCCGGGUAGUCCCAGCUGUAAACGAUGCAGACUCGGUGAUGGGCUAGCCUUGUGCCAGCCCAGUGCCGCAGGGAAGCCGUUAAGUCUGCCGCCUGGGGAGUACGGUCGCAAGACUGAAACUUAAAGGAAUUGGCGGGGGAGCC
rnacentral:rRNA from 1 species